AGCUCAGGAGGUACUCGUAACACAUCCACUCCACAUUUAAUUUAAUGCAGUGUGCAGAGGAGGCCAGAUGCCCUUUAAGGGAUAACCUGUGAACCUCUCCACCGGCAGCAUUAUCAGGCUAAUCAAGAGUGGCAGAUCAGCUAGAGCAAAAUAUGAUCACACUUAGUUGCCACCCUGCCACUUGGCUCUUUUGAACACUUUAAACUGCAAAACAUUAGUACCCGACUGUUUGUUCAUAGCAAGAGCCACUCAUUUCUUAGGUCACGCAGUCAGGUCUGACAUCAGCUCAAUAAAUACUCCUUCCAAAACUUGCUGGUUGACGCGGCCCCCCCUCUGUAUUGCCACUUUCCCUCACUCACCUCGCUUAUGGCAAAAACAGUAUUAAUUAAAACAGAAAUAUAAAUUAGAUCUUUUUAUUGAUCAAUACUGUGACAGAAAGAGCAUAUUUAAGAGAAGUCAUAAAUCUGAAGUUCAAACUGUGGUCCCUUUCCUAUAUACAAGAUUCUGUUAAAACCUAUUUGUCAAUUUAAAAAAUCCUAAAACAUAUACAUCAAAAGUUUCAGCAAAGUCGGAGUUAUUACCAAGUCUACAAUCAAUGUCAAAUUUCAUUAACAAAUCACAUAGCUAGAAGUU